AUUGAACGCUGGCGGCAGGCCUAACACAUGCAAGUCGAACGCGUGGCUGACGGGUGAGUAAUGUCUGGGCAACUGCCUGAUGGAGGGGGAUAACUACUGUAAACGGUAGCUAAUACCGCAUACCAUCGGAUGUGCCCAGAUGGGAUUAGCUAGUAGGUGGGGUAAAGGCUCACCUAGGCCACGAUCCCUACCUGGUCUGAGAGGAUGACCGGACACAAUGGAACUGAGACACGGUCCAGACUCCUACGGGAGGCAGCAGUGGGGAAUAUUGCACAAUGGGCGAAAGCCCGAUGCAGCCAUGCCGCGUGUAUGAAGAAGGCCUUCGGGUUGUAAAGUACUUUCAGCGGGGAGGCGUUAACGGCAGAGGAAGCAAAGGCUAACUCCGUGCCAGCAGCCGCGGUAAUAC
rnacentral:rRNA from 1 species